ACAAUAUUUCCUUUUAAGAAUCCAUUCCUUUUUUGGCUUACACCAUAUAUUUCGGUGUUUAUCUUACACUUUUUUUGGUAGAAUCCUUUCUAGUGAUGAUACUAAUAAUUCUACAUGUCUUACAUAUGGUGAGAGUCGUAUUUGGUAGUUGAACUCAAUUAUUGGUGGUAAAGAAAAAUGAUCAUGGGACAAUGCUACGAAACGAGCACUAUUUGAAUGACAUAGCUUCAUUAUC
rnacentral:lncRNA from 1 species